CUGAGUUUGGGUGCACAGACAGGAAGCUGCACCUGUGAAGGGGUAGCCCCGUGGUUUCCUGGAUACUGAAACUCAAGCCCAAGCACCCUGAGUUACGGACUGGGUGAGAAGCCGGACGUGGACAGGUGGCCUCUCGUUCCUCUUACCCAGACGCUGAUUUCCAGAGCUUAUAGAAUGAAAAUGACCAUAAAAGAACAUUUUCUUGGGACUUCCCUGGUGGCUCAGU